rnacentral:snoRNA from 1 species
ACGACCUUAUCUCUGUAUCCUUGAGUUCUAAGAGACAGGAACUGAAGUCUGGUGGAUGAAACCUAACCCUGUGAUCAGAGCGUGAUUAAUGGUGUGUUGUGUCUUCUCUAUGUAUUAGAUACAUCUUAGCUGCAGAGGAUUGUUCCCAUUCAUUAUGACUGGGAUGGUCACAGGGUUGUCUGACAGAUA